rnacentral:rRNA from 1 species
GAUGAACGCUGGCGGUAUGCCUAACACAUGCAAGUCGGACGGGAAGUCAUGAUUCCCUUGCCGUUCGGGUGAGCAACGCGCAAAAACCUGAGCAAGGGAGGGGAAUCUCAAUUGGCAACGGUUGUUAAUACGCCGUAGGUACAGUAAUACCGCAAGGAAGCUACCCGAGGAGGGGCUUGCGUCUGAUUAGCUAGUCGGUGAGGUAAUAGCUUACCAAGGCGAUGAUCAGUCGCUGGUCCGAGAGGACGAUCCGCCACACUGGGACUGAGCCACGGCCCAGACUCCUACGGGAGGCAGCAGUAGGGAAUAUUCCGCAAUGGGGGAAAGCCUGACGGAGCAAUGCCGCGUGGAGGUAGAAGGCCCACGGGUCGUGAACUUCUUUUCUCGGAGAAGAAACAAUGACGGUAUCUGAGGAAUAAGCAUCGGCUAACUCUGUG